AUUGAACGCUGGCGGCAGGCUUAACACAUGCAAGUCGAGCGAGCGGCGGACGGGUGAGUAAUGUCUGGGAAACUGCCUGAUGGAGGGGGAUAACUACUGGAAACGGUAGCUAAUACCGCAUACCAUCAGAUGUGCCCAGAUGGGAUUAGCUAGUAGGUGGGGUAAUGGCUCACCUAGGCGACGAUCCCUAGCUGGUCUGAGAGGAUGACCGGCCACCCGGGACCGGAGCAAGGGCCCAGCCUCCUACGGGAGCCAGCAGUGGGAAAUAUUGCACAAUGGGCGAAAGCCUGAUGCACCCAGGCCGGGUGUGUGAAGAAGGCCUUCGGGUUGUAAAGCACUUUCAGCGAGGAGGCGUUACUCGCAGAAGAAGCACCGGCUAACUCCGUGCCAGCCGCCGCGUAAUAC
rnacentral:rRNA from 1 species